rnacentral:rRNA from 1 species
CCUACGGGUGGCAGCAGUCGAGAAUCAUUCACAAUGGGGGAAACCCUGAUGGUGCGACGCCGCGUGGGGGAAUGAAGGUCUUCGGAUUGUAAACCCCUGUCAUGUGGGAGCAAAUUAAAAAGAUAGUACCACAAGAGGAAGAGACGGCUAACUCUGUGCCAGCAGCCGCGGUAAUACAGAGGUCUCAAUCGUUGUUCGGAAUCACUGGGCGUAAAGGGUGCGUAGGCUGUUUCGUAAGUCGUGUGUGAAAGGCGCGGGCUCAACCCGAGGAAGGCAGAUGAUACUGGGAGACUAGAGUAAUGGAGGGGGAAGCGGAAUUCGGGGUGUAGCAGUGAAAUGCGUAGAUAUCGAGAGGAACACUCGUGGCGAAGGCGGGUUCCUGGACAUUAACUGACGCUGAGGCACGAAGGCCAGGGGAGCGAAAGGGAUUAGAUACCCUAGUAGUC